GACAACUUUGGCAGGCUGGCUAUAAUACUGUGGACUCUGCAAGCUCUUUCACAAUUCCAGCAGCACGUGUCCCUGAACUCUUAUCGAGCAGUAAUAUCAAUGUGAAUGCUUCCUGGUCUUUCCAUGUUGAUGGGUCACCAAACCUGCCAUCUAAUUUCCUACCAUUUGGAAACGGAGAAAUAGUAACCCCCCGUUUGGAGAAUGGAAGCUCUGAAGCCAUUACAUUGCUGCAGCCUUUCAGGUUUUUUGGACGCACACACAA